rnacentral:rRNA from 1 species
UACGAAGGGUGCAAGCGUUAAUCGGAAUUACUGGGCGUAAAGCGUGCGUAGGCGGUUUCUUAAGUCCGUUGUGAAAGCCCUGGGCUCAACCUGGGAACUGCGAUGGAUACUGAGGAGCUGGAGUACGGUAGAGGAAGGUGGAAUUCCCGGUGUAGCGGUGAAAUUCGUAGAUAUCGGGAGGAACACCGGUGGCGAAGGCGGCGACCUGGGUAGAUACUGACGCUGAGGCGCGAAAGCGUGGGGAGCAAACAGG